CGCCUCUAGAGAAAUUUAAUUAGAGGUCCAUUCUGCCCUAUGCCCUACGGGGUAAAUGGCCGCGGUAGCCUGACCGUGCUAAGGUAGCAUAAUCAUUUGCCGUUUAAUUGAUGGCUGGAAUGAACGAAUAUACGAAAGCUCAACUGUCUCGUUUUUACCUAUAAAAAUUGACCUCCAAGUGAAGAGACUUGGGUUACACAAAAAGACGAAAAGACCCUAUAGAGCUUUACCUAAACUCUACUCCCCAGAGAGAAGGUUUAGUUGGGGCAACUAGAGAGAAACUAAAACCUCUCUUUAAAGAAACUUAUCUAGAUCCGUCAUACGAUCAGCAGAAAAAGCUACCUUAGGGAUAACAGGCUAAUCCUCUUUGAGAGACCAUAUUGACAAGAGGGGUUGGCACCUCGAUGUUGGCUCAAGGUUACAGCCUGAUGCAGCAGUCAGGCAUAGUGGGUUUGUUCACCCUUUAAAUCCUU
rnacentral:rRNA from 1 species